UCCCUGGUUGCCUAGUGGUUAAGGACUUGGCAUUAAGACUGCUGUGGCUUGGGUUUGAUCCCUGACCUGGGAA
rnacentral:tRNA from 1 species